GGCACAACGGGGUCUCCGAAGCUCAUGGACGUGCYGCCCGCGGCACCGCCACCGGCCCCCUCACCUUCUUGCUGCCGUGCGAGGAGAAGCUGUGCGAGUGCCGCGGCAGGCUGCCCCCGCUCAGGUCCAGCUGCGGCUUCCAGACCUCCCCGUUGUCGCUGCCCAGCGACUUGGUGGGCGACGUGCCGGAGCCGAGCAGGACGCCGCCGUGCACCAUCUCCUCCGUGCACGUCAGCCGCAGGCUGCACAGGUACUCAUCCGUCUCCUUGUCCACCACCAGCAAGCGGGUCUCCGUCUCCACGGCCUUGAUGCGCUGCACGACCUGGAAGGGAGGAGGAGAGCUGAGCAGAAGCCCCCGGCCGCUGCCCCGGGGUCCCGUGGGGGCACAGCGGAGCGUCUCACUGAGCACGCUUUGCCCCGCAGCCCCCGAGCGCCUGUCCGUGGGGGUCUGUCCGGGAAGGGCAGAGUGCCAGGUGCACCCUUCGGUGUCCCGCACCGAGCCAACGCAUCGGUGCAUCCCCAGGCUGGUUUAUGCAAGAAACGACCCGAUCUGCACAUUCACCCCAGUUCUGUGCUAYGGGAGAGCAGCGAUCAGGGCCAGCAGAGCCAGCGAUGGGGCCGGGAGCAGGAACCAGGCCCAGCUCUGCUGGACAGGGACCGAUGUCCACAUGCAGCCUCGGUUUUCCAUGUUUUUUUGUGGCUGGCGGAUGCUCUGGAAGGGGCUCGCAGCAUCGGCCUGGGGCAGCAGAAGGAGGUGAGCGAGACGGUUCACGCACAGGGAAUCGAGGGCUUUCCCACCAUGCAGCCUCAGGCCAGGCGCUCCCUGCCCCGCUUCGCCCCGCGCACCGAAGGGCCGGGAGGUAAAACCAGGGGCUCGGAGAGGCUCCAACAGGCCAAACACCACCCUCGCCCUGCACAAGCCUUCAUCCCGCAGAGGAGGAGGAGSAGCAGCACCGCUGACCUUUCUUGAGGGGCAGAGCCCUCCGCGGUUCCCAGGGAACACGGCCCCUUCCUGCCGGCAUCGCGGCAGCCCUGGG
rnacentral:lncRNA from 1 species